UACAGAGGUCUCAAGCGUUGUUCGGAUUCAUUGGGCGUAAAGGGUGUGUAGGUGGCGCCGUAAGUCGGGUGUGAAAUUUCGGAGCUUAACUCCGAAACUGCAUUCGAUACUGCGGUGCUUGAGGACUGGAGAGGAGACUGGAAUUCAUGGUGUAGCAGUGAAAUGCGUAGAGAUCAUGAGGAAGACCAGUGGCGAAGGCGACUCUUUGGCCUGUAACUGACGCUGAGGCGCGAAAGCGUGGGGAGCAAACAGG
rnacentral:rRNA from 1 species